rnacentral:rRNA from 1 species
UACGUAGAAGACUAGUGUUAUUCAUCUUUAAUAGGUUUAAAGGGUACCUAGACGGUAUAAUUAGUCUAAAAUAAGAUACGGUUAUACUAGAGUUGAUAUAUGAGAAGGUGAGUAUUUAUGGAGUAGAGUUGAAAUUCGUUGAUCCCAUAACGACUGGUAUCGGCGAAAGCAACCUUUUAUCUAAUAACUGACGUUUGAGGGACGAAGGCUCGGGUAACGGAACAGG